AUUGCUGAUAGGAUUAUCAAUUAGUACAAGAUUUCUGAAGGGAAUCUGGCAAUGUGUAUCAAGAAACAACAACAAAAAAUUAUACCCUUUGAACCAUCCAGAAUUGGCUAGUUGGAUGAAGCAUGCCUGAGCUGAGGCUUGAAUGCUUUUGAAAAUCAGCAAACACAACUACAGUCUCCAUGAUGUAAACCAAUCUGCUGGACUACUUCCAAUUUCAGCUCCGACACAUGAAGAGCUUGGAAGUCAUCAUUCCCAUCCUUCACAAAAAGUAAAAACCAAACAAACUGAAAAUUUGUGACUUUUCUUGGGUCCCUCAGAGAAUAAAGGUUUCAGGCAAACUGCCAGCUUGACAUCUGGAGAGAGAGGAAAAUCCAAAGAGACAUAGCCAAGAUCUGUUUACCUGAACCUGAUGACAACAGAAUGAUCAACUAGUAGAAAAACUUAAAUAAUAAUUUUGAUGACUUGCUGGAGGCAGAGUGUGAAUUUGCCUGAGAGUGAGAGACCUGGUAUUUGGUGAUUACAGCAUACAGACUGGAUGACAAUUCUAAGAUUCCAGUUCUAUGAUUCAUAAUGGAAAAAAGGCGGAAACCACCCAAAUGUUCAUCAGCUGAAGAAUGGAUACAUAAAAUGCAGUUAAAUUCAUACAGUGGAAUAGUAUUCAGCAAUGAAAAGGAAUGACGCACUGGUACCUAUUACGACAUGAAUGACUCAUACAAACGCUAUGCCGAGUGAAAGAAGCCAAUCAAAAAAGACCACAUGCUAUAUGACUCCAUUCAUAUUAUGUUCAUAACAAGGAAAUCUAUGGAUAAAGUAAAUUAGUGGUUGCUUAAAGCUGGGAAGGAUGUGGGAAUAGAAAGGUGAUAGUGAAAGAGCAUAGGGUUUCUUUUAAAGGUGAUGAAAUAGUUCUAAAAUUGUGGCUAUGGUUGCACAGAUCUGUGAAUAUACUAAACACCAUUGAAAUGUACAAUUUCAAUGGAUGAAUUGUAUGGUAUGUGAAUUAUAUAUAAAUAAAGCUAUUAAAAA
rnacentral:lncRNA from 1 species